rnacentral:tRNA from 1 species
UACAUUUUGGUGUAUGACGCACAGAAACUUUUGAUGUUUUAGGAAUUAGUUUGAUUCUAUUAAAUGUAA